rnacentral:rRNA from 1 species
UACGUAGGGGGCAAGCGUUAUCCGGAUUUACUGGGUGUAAAGGGAGCGUAGACGGAGCAGCAAGUCUGAUGUGAAAACCCGGGGCUCAACCACGGGACUGCAUUGGAAACUGUUGAUCUGGAGUGCCGGAGAGGUAAGCGGAAUUCCUAGUGUAGCGGUGAAAUGCGUAGAUAUUAGGAGGAACACCAGUGGCGAAGGCGGCUUACUGGACGGUAACUGACGUUGAGGCUCGAAAGCGUGGGGAGCAAACAGG